rnacentral:rRNA from 1 species
AAUAAAAAGAGUUUGAUCCUGGCUCCGAUUAAAUGCAUUUGAUUAAUUUAACACAUGCAAGUUAUUAAAAAAUAGCGUACGGGUGAGUAAUAUAUAAAAAAAUUUUUUAAAAGGUUUAUAUAAGAUUAAGUUGUAAGUGGUCCAAAAUUCAACUUAGCUGAUAAUCUUUAGUUGGUUUAUGUGAAUGAUCAACCACACUGGAAUUGAAAAAUGGUUCAGACUAAUUUUAGGCAGCAGUGAAGAAUAUUGGACAAUGAGCGUAAGCUUGAUCCAGUUAAUCAAUUAUGUGAAGAAAAUUUUAUUGUAAAACAUAAAACUUAAAAAAAAUUAAUGAUUAUGAAAAAGUUUAUAGUCCUGGCUAAUUUCGUGCCAGCAGCCGCGGUAAAACGAGAAGGGCAAGUGUUAUUCAAAUUUAUUGGGCGUAAAGAAUUAUUAGGUUGUAAAUUAACGUUUAGUUUCUUUUAAUUAAAAUUAAUUUUAUUUUAAAAAUAAUUUUUAGAUAAAUUUACUUGAGUUUAAAAAAAAGAUUUUAGAAUUUUAAGUGGAACGGUAAAAUGUUUUGAUAUUUAAAAGAAUUUUAAAGGUAAACACAGUAGUCUUUUUUAAUACUGACACUUUUUAAUUAAAGUACAGGUAGCAAAAGGGAUUAGAUACCCCUGUAGUCUGUACCCUGAACUAUGAAUGUUAUUUUAAAAAAUUUAAUAUAAAAAAUUAACGUGUUAAACAUUUCGCCUGGGAACUACGAUCGCAAGGUUAAAACUCAAAGGAAUUGACGGGAAUUCAAACAAGCAGUGGAGCAUGUGGUUUAAAUCGAUAAUACGCGCGAAACCUUACCAAUUUUUGUUAUUAGGUGUUGCAUGGCUGUCAUCAGUCCGUGCUUUGAAGUGUUUGGUUUAUUCCAAUAAACGGGCGAAACUUUUUUUUAUUGUUAAAUUAUAUAAAUUAAAAAGGAUAUCUUAUUAAAAUGAAAACGAUGACAAGUCUUCAUGACCCUUAUAAAUUGGGCUACUUUCAUGUGCUACAAUAUUUUUUACAAAGUUUAUUUGUUAAAUAAAAAAUUUACAAAAUGAAAAAAAAAUAACGGAUUAUUUUCUGAAACUUGAAAAUGUGAAGUAGGAAUUGCUAGUAAUCGUUUAUUAGAAUGUUACGGUGAAUAAGUUCUUGAAUUUUGUACAUACCGCCCGUCACGCUAUGGAAAUUAUUUUUACUUGAAAAAUUUAUAUGUUAAUUUUAAAGUAAAGUUAAAGACUAAAGUGAAGUCGUAACAAGGUAGCCGUAGAGGAAUCUGUGGCUGGAAUAAAAAUUAA